GACAGAGGGUGCAAACGUUGUUCGGAAUUACUGGGCGUAAAGCGUGUGUAGGCGGCUACGUAAGUCGGAUGUGAAAGCCCCAGGCUCAACCUGGGAAGUGCACUCGAUACUGCGUAGCUUGAGUAUCGGAGAGGUUGGUGGAAUUCUCGGUGUAGCAGUGAAAUGCGUAGAGAUCGGGAGGAACAUCUGUGGCGAAGGCGGCCAUCUGGACCAGCACUGACACUGAGGCACGAAAGCGUGGGGAGCAAACAGG
rnacentral:rRNA from 1 species